rnacentral:ncRNA from 1 species
GUGUUCGUUGAAAGGAGAGACGGUUGGCAUCUCCCCUGAUAGGGACGGGAACAAGCCUUCGGGCUUUCUUGUUACCGAAUACAUCCGGUUAAGGCUACCCACCUCGUUUGAGGUGGAUCUUACCCAAUUUUUUU